rnacentral:rRNA from 1 species
UACGUAGGGACCAAGCGUUGUUCGGAUUUACUGGGCGUAAAGGGCGCGUAGGCGGCCUAUUAAGUCAGCUGUGAAAUCUCCGAGCUUAACUCGGAACUGUCAGCUGAUACUGAUGUGCUAGAGUGCAGAAAGGGCAAUCAGAAUUCUUGGUGUAGCGGUGAAAUGCGUAGAUAUCAAGAGGAAUACCUGAGGCGAAGGCGGGUUGCUAGGCUGACACUGACGCUGAGGCGCGAAAGCCAGGGGAGCAAACGGG